rnacentral:rRNA from 1 species
GACGAACGCUGGCGGCGUGCUUAAUACAUGCAAGUCGAACGGACAGGCCCUGCUCUUGUGGCGUGCUCGAGUGCCGAACGGGUGAGUAACACGUGUGUAAACUGCCCUUGACUUUGGGAUAACUUCAGGAAACUCGGGCUCUUACCCGGUAUGAUCUCCUGCUCCAUGGGGGGGGUUGGAAAAUUUCGGCGGUUGGGGAUCGUCUCGAUGCUUAUCCGCUUGUUUGGCUGGUAGUGGCUUUCCAAGGCUUUGACGGGUAGCCGGCCUAAGAGGGGGAACGGCCACAUUGGGCCUGAGGGAGGGAGCAGACGCGUACGGGAGGCAGCAGUGGGGAGUAUUACACAGUAGGCGGAAGCCUGAGGCAGCGACGCCGCGUGCGGAAUGACGUCCUUCGGGUUGUAAACCACUUUCGCCGGAGACGAAGAGGGAGUGACGGUAAUGGGUAAAGAAGCCCCGGCUAACUACGUG